rnacentral:rRNA from 2 species
GAAUGAACUUAAGAGUUUGAUCCUGGCUCAGAACGAACGCUGGCGGCAUGCCUAACACAUGCAAGUCGAACGGGAUCCAUUGCUUCGGUGAUGGUGAGAGUGGCGCACGGGUGAGUAACGCGUGGGAACCUGCCAAUGAGUACGGAAUAACGGUUGGAAACGACCGCUAAUACCGUAUACGCCCUACGGGGGAAAGAUUUAUCGCUCAUUGAGGGUCCCGCGUCCGAUUAGCUAGUUGGUGAGGUAAAGGCUCACCAAGGCGACGAUCGGUAGCUGGUCUGAGAGGAUGAUCAGCCACACUGGGACUGAGACACGGCCCAGACUCCUACGGGAGGCAGCAGUGGGG